rnacentral:rRNA from 1 species
GGGGGGAAACCCUGAUGCAGCGACGCCGCGUGAGCGAUGAAGUAUUUCGGUAUGUAAAGCUCUAUCAGCAGGGAAGAAUUAAGACGGUACCUGACUAAGAAGCACCGGCUAAAUACGUGCC